rnacentral:rRNA from 1 species
UACCAAGGCGCUUGAGAGAACUCGGGUGAAGGAACUAGGCAAAAUGGUGCCGUAACUUCGGGAGAAGGCACGCUGACACGUAGGUGAAGUGAUUUACUCAUGGAGCUGAAGUCAGUCGAAGAUACCAGCUGGCUGCAACUGUUUAUUAAAAACACAGCACUGUGCAAACACGAAAGUGGACGUAUACGGUGUGACGCCUGCCCGGUGCCGGAAGGUUAAUUGAUGGGGUCAGCGCAAGCGAAGCUCCUGAUCGAAGCCCCGGUAAACGGCGGCCGUAACUAUAACGGUCCUAAGGUAGCGAAAUUCCUUGUCGGGUAAGUUCCGACCUGCACGAAUGGCGUAAUGAUGGCCAGGCUGUCUCCACCCGAGACUCAGUGAAAUUGAACUCGCUGUGAAGAUGCAGUGUACCCGCGGCAAGACGGAAAGACCCCGUGAACCUUUACUAUAGCUUGACACUGAACAUUGAGCCUUGAUGUGUAGGAUAGGUGGGAGGCUUUGAAGUGUGGACGCCAGUCUGCAUGGAGCCGACCUUGAAAUACCACCCUUUAAUGUUUGAUGUUCUAACGUGGACCCGUAAUCCGGGUUGCGGACAGUGUCUGGUGGGUAGUUUGACUGGGGCGGUCUCCUCCUAAAGAGUAACGGAGGAGCACGAAGGUUGGCUAAUCCUGGUCGGACAUCAGGAGGUUAGUGCAAUGGCAUAAGCCAGCUUGACUGCGAGCGUGACGGCGCGAGCAGGUGCGAAAGCAGGUCAUAGUGAUCCGGUGGUUCUGAAUGGAAGGGCCAUCGCUCAACGGAUAAAAGGUACUCCGGGGAUAACAGGCUGAUACCGCCCAAGAGUUCAUAUCGACGGCGGUGUUUGGCACCUCGAUGUCGGCUCAUCACAUCCUGGGGCUGAAGUAGGUCCCAAGGGUAUGGCUGUUCGCCAUUUAAAGUGGUACGCGAGCUGGGUUUAGAACGUCGUGAGACAGUUCGGUCCCUAUCUGCCGUGGGCGCUGGAGAACUGAGGGGGGCUGCUCCUAGUACGAGAGGACCGGAGUGGACGCAUCACUGGUGUUCGGGUUGUCAUGCCAAUGGCACUGCCCGGUAGCUAAAUGCGGAAGAGAUAAGUGCUGAAAGCAUCUAAGCACGAAACUUGCCCCGAGAUGAGUUCUCCCUGAGACUUAGAGUCUCCUGAAGGAACGUUGAAGACGACGACGUUGAUAGGCCGGGUGUGUAAGCGCAGCGAUGCGUUGAGCUAACCGGUACUAAUGAACCGUGAGGCUUAACCUUACAACGCCGAAG